rnacentral:snRNA from 1 species
GUGUUCACUUCAGCACAUACACUAAAAUUGGAAUGCUGUAGACAUUACCACGGCCCCUGAGCAGGGGUGUCAUGCAAAUUCAUGAAAUGUUCUGUAGUUUU